CCUACGGGAGGCUGCAGUGAGGAAUAUUGGUCAAUGGGCGGGAGCCUGAACCAGCCAAGUCGCGUGAGGGAAGACGGUCCUAUGGAUUGUAAACCUCUUUAGUCGGGGAGCAAUGCCGGGCACGUGUGCCGGGAGGGAGAGUACCCGCAGAAUAAGCAUCGGCUAACUCCGUGCCAGCCGCCGCGGUAAUACGGAGGAUGCUAGCGUUAUCCGGAUUUAUGGGGUUUAAAGGGUGCGUAGGCGGAUUUUUAAGUCAGCGGUAAAAUGUCCGGGCUCAACCCGGGCCGGCCGUUGAACAUGGGGAGCUUGAGUGGGCGAGAAGUAUGCGGAAUGCGUGGUGUAGCGGUGAAAUGCAUAGAUAUCACGCAGAACUCCGAUUGCGAAGGCAGCAUACCGGCGCCCGACUGACGCUGAGGCACGAAAGCGUGGGGAUCGAACAGGAUUAGAUACCCCUGUAGUC
rnacentral:rRNA from 1 species